UGGAUUAGGCAUGCAAGUCGAGCGGUAAGGCCCCGCAAGGGGCACACGAGCGGCGUAAGGGACAGGAAUGUGUAGGUACGUACCUCCGGGCCUGGGAUAGCUGCGAGAAAUUGCAAUUAAUACCAGAUGACGUCUCCGGACCAAAGGUGUGAUUCCGCCAGGAGAGCGGCCUACAUCCUAUUAGCUAGUUGGUGGGGUAAUGGCCUACCAAGGCGAUGAUGUCUAGGGGGUGUGAGAGCAUGGCCCCCACGACCGGAACUGAGAUACUGUCCGGACACCUACGGGUGGCUGCAGUCGAGAAUCUUCCGCAAUGGACGAAAGUCUGACGGAGCGACGCCGCGUGCGGGAUGAAGGCCUUCGGGUUGUAAACCGCUGUCGAAGGGGAGGAAAUGGUAGUGGGUUCACUCAUUACUUUGACCGAUCCUUGGAGGAAGGGCCGGCUAAUCUCGUGCCAGCAGCCGCGGUA
rnacentral:rRNA from 1 species